ACGGAAGGCAGCAGUGGGGAAUAUUGGGCAAUGGGCGAAAGCCUGACCCAGCAAUGCCGCGUGAAGGAAGAAGGUCUUCGGAUUGUAAACUUCUUUUAUGAGGGACGAAGGAAUUGACGGUACCUCAUGAAUAAGCCACGGCUAACUACGUGCCAGCAGCCGCGGUAAUACGUAGGUGGCAAGCGUUAUCCGGAUUUACUGGGUGUAAAGGGCGCGUAGGCGGGGAAGCAAGUCAGAUGUGAAAUCUAUGGGCUUAACUCAUAAACUGCAUUUGAAGCUGUUUCUCUUGAGUGCUGGAGAGGUAGAUGGAAUUCCUAGUGUAACGGUGAAGUGCGUAGAUAUUAGGAAGAACACCAGUGGCGAAGGCGAUCUACUGGACAGUAACUGACGCUGAGGCGCGAAAGCGUGGGGAGCAAACAG
rnacentral:rRNA from 1 species